rnacentral:rRNA from 1 species
CAACCUGCCGUCUACUCUUGGACAGCCUUCUGAAAGGAAGAUUAAUACAAGAUGGCAUCAUGAGUCCGCAUGUUCACAUGAUUAAAGGUAUUCCGGUAGACGAUGGGGAUGCGUUCCAUUAGAUAGUAGGCGGGGUAACGGCCCACCUAGUCUUCGAUGGAUAGGGGUUCUGAGAGGAAGGUCCCCCACAUUGGAACUGAGACACGGUCCAAACUCCUACGGGAGGCAGUAGUGAGGAAUAUUGGUCAAUAGGCGCAGGCCUGAACCAGCCAAGUAGCGUGAAGGAUGACUGCCCUAUGGGUUGCAAACUUCUUUUAUAAAGGAAUAAAGUCGGGUAUGGAUACCCGUUUGCAUGUACUUUAUGAAUAAGGAUCGGCUAACUCCGUGCCAGCAGCCGCGGUAAUACGGAGGAUCCGAGCGUUAUCCGGAUUUAUUGGGUUUAAAGGGAGCGUAGAUGGAUGUUUAAGUCAGUUGUGAAAGUUUGCGGCUCAACCGUAAAAUUGCAGUUGAUACUGGAUAUCUUGAGUGCAGUUGANGCAGGCGGAAUUCGUGGUGUAGCGGUGAAAUGCUUAGAUAUCACGAAGAACUCCGAUUG